rnacentral:rRNA from 1 species
UACGUAGGGGGCUAGCGUUAUCCGGAAUUACUGGGCGUAAAGGGUGCGUAGGUGGUUUCCUAAGUCAGAGGUGAAAGGCUACGGCUCAACCGUAGUAAGCCUUUGAAACUGGGAAACUUGAGUGCAGGAGAGGAGAGUGGAAUUCCUAGUGUAGCGGUGAAAUGCGUAGAUAUUAGGAGGAACACCAGUUGCGAAGGCGGCUCUCUGGACUGUAACUGACACUGAGGCACGAAAGCGUGGGGAGCAAACAGGAUUAGAUACCCGCGUAGUCCCUGAG